rnacentral:misc_RNA from 1 species
GAAAUGCGAUAAGUAGUGUGAAUUGCAGAAUUCAGUGAAUCAUCGAAUCUUUGAACGCACAUUGCGCCCCUCGGCAUUCCGUGGGGCAUGCCUGUUCGAGCGUCAUCUACACCCUCAAGCUCUGCUUGGUGUUGGGCGUCUGUCCCACCUCCGCGCGCGGACUCGCCCCAAAUGCAUUGGCAGCGGUUCCUUGCCCCCCUCUUUGCGCGGCACAUUGCCAUUCGAGGCGGCGGCGGCCCGCGUCCAACAAGCUCAACCCCCCCGUCUUUGACCUCGGAUCAGGUAGGGAUACCCGCUGAACUUAAGCA